GAUGAACGCUGGCGGCGUGCCUAAUACAUGCAAGUCGAGCGAACGGACGAGAAGCUUGCUUCUCUGAUGUUAGCGGCGGACGGGUGAGUAACACGUGGAUAACCUACCUAUAAGACUGGGAUAACUUCGGGAAACCGGAGCUAAUACCGGAUAAUAUUUUGAACCGCAUGGUUCAAAAGUGAAAGACGGUCUUGCUGUCACUUAUAGAUGGAUCCGCGCUGCAUUAGCUAGUUGGUAAGGUAACGGCUUACCAAGGCAACGAUGCAUAGCCGACCUGAGAGGGUGAUCGGCCACACUGGAACUGAGACACGGUCCAGACUCCUACGGGAGGCAGCAGUAGGGAAUCUUCCGCAAUGGGCGAAAGCCUGACGGAGCAACGCCGCGUGAGUGAUGAAGGUCUUCGGAUCGUAAAACUCUGUUAUUAGGGAAGAACAUAUGUGUAAGUAACUGUGCACAUCUUGACGGUACCUAAUCAGAAAGCCACGGCUAACUACGUGCCAGCAGCCGCGGUAAUACGUAGGUGGCAAGCGUUAUCCGGAAUUAUUGGGCGUAAAGCGCGCGUAGGCGGUUUUUUAAGUCUGAUGUGAAAGCCCACGGCUCAACCGUGGAGGGUCAUUGGAAACUGGAAAACUUGAGUGCAGAAGAGGAAAGUGGAAUUCCAUGUGUGGCGGUGAAAUGCGCAGAGAUAUGGAGGAACACCAGUGGCGAAGGCGACUUUCUGGUCUGUAACUGACGCUGAUGUGCGAAAGCGUGGGGAUCAAACAGGAUUAGAUACCCUGGUAGUCCACGCCGUAAACGAUGAGUGCUAAGUGUUAGGGGGUUUCCGCCCCUUAGUGCUGCAGCUAACGCAUUAAGCACUCCGCCUGGGGAGUACGACCGCAAGGUUGAAACUCAAAGGAAUUGACGGGGACCCGCACAAGCGGUGGAGCAUGUGGUUUAAUUCGAAGCAACGCGAAGAACCUUACCAAAUCUUGACAUCCUUUGACAACUCUAGAGAUAGAGCCUUCCCCUUCGGGGGGGCAAAGUGACAGGUGGUGCAUGGUUGUCGUCAGCUCGUGUCGUGAGAUGUUGGGUUAAGUCCCGCAACGAGCGCAACCCUUAAGCUUAGUUGCCAUCAUUAAGUUGGGCACUCUAAGUUGACUGCCGGUGACAAACCGGAGGAAGGUGGGGAUGACGUCAAAUCAUCAUGCCCCUUAUGAUUUGGGCUACACACGUGCUACAAUGGACAAUACAAAGGGCAGCGAAACCGCGAGGUCAAGCAAAUCCCAUAAAGUUGUUCUCAGUUCGGAUUGUAGUCUGCAACUCGACUACAUGAAGCUGGAAUCGCUAGUAAUCGUAGAUCAGCAUGCUACGGUGAAUACGUUCCCGGGUCU
rnacentral:rRNA from 1 species